GGGAGCGUAGGCGGAUUAUUAAGUCAGUGGUGAAAGACGGUGGCUCAACCAUCGUUAGCCAUUGAAACUGGUAGUCUUGAGUGCAGACAGGGAUGCUGGAACUCGUGGUGUAGCGGUGAAAUGCUUAGAUAUCACGAUGAACUCCGAUCGCGAAGGCAGGUGUCCGGGCUGCAACUGACGCUGAGGCUCGAAAGUGUGGGUAUCAAACAGGAUUAGAUACCCUGGUAGUCCACACAGUAAACGAUGUAUACUCGCGGUUUGCGAUAUAUUGUAAGCCGCCAAGCGAAAGCAUUAAGUAUACCACCUGGGGAGUACGCCGGCAACGGUGAAACUCAAAGGAAUUGACGGGGGCCCGCACAAGCGGAGGAACAUGUGGUUUAAUUCGAUGAUACGCGAGGAACCUUACCCGGGCUUGAACUAAGAGUGACAGAUUUAGAGAUAGAUCUUUCUUCGGACACUCUUGGAGGUGCUGCAUGGUUGUCGUCAGCUCGUGCCGUGAGGUGUCGGCUUAAGUGCCAUAACGAGCGCAACCCUUUUCCUUGGUUGCCAUCAGGUAAUGCUGGGCACUCCAGGGAUACUGCCAUCGUAAGAUGUGAGGAAGGUGGGGAUGACGUCAAAUCAGCACGGCCCUUACGUCCGGGGCUACACACGUGUUACAAUGGGGGGUACAGAAGGUCGCUACCUGGUGACAGGAUGCCAAUCUCAAAAACCUCUCUCAGUUCGGAUCGGAGUAUGCAACCCGAGUCCGUGAAGCUGGAUUCGCUAGUAAUCGCGC
rnacentral:rRNA from 1 species